GACAGAGGAGGCAAGCGUUGUCCGGACUGACUGGGCGUAAAGCGUCCGCAGGUGGUCGCGCAAGUGCGCUGUGAAAGCGGCCCGCUCAACGGGCCGAGGCCAGCGCAGACUGCACGACUCGAGGUCGGGAGAGGUCGGUGGAAUUGCCGGUGUAGUGGUGAAAUGCGUAGAGAUCGGCAGGAACACCCAUGGGGAAACCAGCCGGCUGGGCAUGGGCUGACACUCAGGUGCGAAAGCGUGGGGAGCAAACGGG
rnacentral:rRNA from 1 species